rnacentral:rRNA from 1 species
GUCCACGCUGUAAACGAUGAGGACUAGGUGUCGGCCCAUUUUGGGUCGGUGCCGCAGGUAACCCAUUAAGUCCUCCACCUGGGGAGUACGUCCGCAAGGAUGAAACUCAAAGGAAUUGACGGGGGCCCGCACAAGCGGUGGAACAUGUGGUUUAAUUCGACGCUACGCGUAGAACCUUACCUGGGCUUGACAUGCUAGUAGUACUGAACCGAAAGGGGAAGGACUCGUCAAGUCGAGAUCUAGCACAGGUGGUGCAUGGCUGUCGU